rnacentral:rRNA from 1 species
AUGGAACCCGUGGGAACUUGCACCAUAUGUGGGCAGGAAGAUGAGACGGUUCACCAUGCACUGAUUAGAUGUCCUCAUGCCCGAAUUCUAUGGGAGGAAAUGAGACUUGUGUGGGAUCUACCGGAUGUUGAAUCUCUUCGGAGGAACGAGCCAGAUUGGUUGUUGAUGCUGAUGCAUGAGCUGAAUGAGAUACAGCACAUGCUUGUUCUAAUGGUGCUAUGGCGGGUUUGGCACGUUCAUAAUGAGCUUACACAUGGUAAACCAAUGAUUCCAAUUGAAGUCUCCAAACGCUUCCUGUGUGGAUAUGCUGAGUUGCUACUUAUGAUAAAACAUUACCCACGUUCAGACCCCACCAAAGGAAAACAUCCGGCCCUGUUAGAUGGCUGCAUUCUUCAGAGUUCCAGCGAGAUGAUCCGGCCAGCCGUGGAAGCUUCCUGGGAACCCCCGCCUGAUGGCCACGUCAAGCUGAACUUUGAUGGGUCGUAUGUUGUAGCAGAUGGGUAUGCGGGGGCGGGAAUGGUGCUUCGCGACCAUAAUGGCGAGGUAAUUUUCACAGCAUGCAGGUGGAUCUUCAACUGUCCAGGGCCACUGGAGGUUGAGCUUGCUGCCUAUGAGGAGGGGCUAAGACUGGCCCUUCAUUGGUCCGACAAGCCGCUCAUGGUGGAGUCCGAUUGUGCUGAGCUCAUCUCGCUAAUUAGUGCGGGCACAGCGGAUCGUUCUAGCAACAUGUUUCAGGCUGCAGAAAUUUUGGAGCUACUCAAGGAACGACAAUCACAAAUCCAAAAGAUUAGCCGGACUCUGAACAAAGCUGCAGAUGCCAUGGCAGCUAUAGGACGUAGACAGCAACGCACAGCAUGUUGGCUUGCAAAUAUCCCUCAGGAGAUUAGCAUUAUCAUCAUGAAUGAUUGUAAAAUGGCUAUCAAUUAA